AGUCGAAAACGGUUAGCCGCAAGAAGUCAGCAGAAGCCAUAGUAGUGAUGCUUAUCAUGAAGGGC
rnacentral:ncRNA from 1 species